AAGGGGGGGAUUGUCAAUAGAUUUCUAGCAAAGGUUUAUUAGCUGAUGUGGCUUCAUUAUGCUAGUCCUACUCCAUAAAUUUGUUAUCUAUUUAAUUACGUUUAAUAAUAUUAAGUAAUUGUGCUAUCUGUUUUGUUUCCCUAGUUUUCCCAUCUUGAGAAAUUUCCUUGUUAUGUUGGAAAGUUUUGACUGACUGCUUGAAUUUGGGCAGUUUUAUGAACCAGCGGAUUCUUGCAAACUUUAGAUUUAAAUGUUUUACUAAGUGCCAGAAUUUGGCACUUAAGACUUCAUUUGUACAAGUAAUAGGAAAAUUGAUUCUGAACUUAAAGUUAGUGCCUAGAAAUGAGUUUAUGGUGAAUUGGUGAUCAGGACCCUAUAUCUGUCCAUUUACUACUUAUGUUAUUGAAUAAUACAUUAUAAUUAUCACUGCAUUUGAUAAGAGAGGAAACACUCUUUUUGGCAGUGGGAUAUAUAUUUAAUGAAAAUUAGAAUAUUACACCCUUAAAUUAGCAUAUCUUGCUUUAACUUCUCUGGACUUCGUAUAUAGUUGAGUAAAGAGAAAAUCAAACAGAGUACGAACUGCAGUAAUAGGCCAUAAGUACUAAAUUUUAGUCUCAGGGCAUUCAUUGGAAUUGUCGCAUGUGGCUAUCAAUUCUAUUGGUAUCGUUCAUUUCUUAUAUGCACAGCUCCUUAACUGCAUUAUUAAGUUCCUCUCUAGAAUUUAAUCACAUUUUGUUUACCGAGUGUAGAUUGUGUACACAAUUUGUAUUGACAUGGAUAGAGAGGUCUAUACAAUGUAAUUGAUAAUAUGUUGAUGUUUUUCUUGUUUAUUGUUUUUGCAGAUUGGUUUUUGAUGACGUUUGGAAGCAUACUUGAAUUUUUUUUCCCCUAAAUUGAUACUUCUACAAAUCAAGAUCGAGUGUUGAUUUUUUUUAUGGACUCCAUGAUAUCUUGCUUGUGCUCGCUGUUCAAGCUCAGGAGUGCUUGUCCUAGUUGAACCAGUUUCAACUGUUAACGAUGGAGAUCAGCACCUAGCAACUCCUAAAACUGAACGAUGUUCAAACUGUUCAGGUUCUGGAAAGGUGAAUCAUGCGCUUGGGUUUUAAUUGGGACUGACAUAAAUAUUCUGCUACUUGCUAAGUUCGCAAAGCCUUUAAUGGGACCUGCCCAGAUAGUCAUAAACAGCAUCCUCAUUAACGGUGAAGUAUGUAGUUUUCUUUUCUCUUUUUUACUUACCUUUUAUAUCUAAAAUUCUGAAUUAUCGUUCUUCUCUUUUUGGUAAAUGAAGAAUUAAAGUCACAUCUAUGAAAUUGAAGAACUGGUAAUUGUUCUUUGCCACCACUAGUGUAAAUCAGGUAAUGUUACAGGCUCAACUCCUCAUUCACAUAUAAGAUGGUGGGAUAUGUGGUGGGUAAUUCCUGGGUCGAUUGAGGCUUUGUUUCAGUGGUGGGCAGGGGCUUUGGUUAAGAAAAAAGAGGUGAAGGUGUGGAAAAUUGUGCCGCUAGUUUUAUUUUGCCAAUUUGGUAGUUAAGGAAUGAUAUAUUGUUUAACAGUGGCCAUCCUAAUUUUGAUGAUUUGGAGGACAUUGUGAAGACCAGGAUUACAUUUUGGGCUAAGAACAAUUUACCAGGUGUGCAGUACGGAGUGCAUGAUUUUGUUCAUAAGUCAGACAUUGCUUGAGAUGAAGGGUGUUUACUGGGGCACUGUGGUGGCAGUGUUCUGGGACGACUUGUGCUGGUUUUGCUGUCAAGUCCUGCUGUUGCUGUGUGUAGUCCAGUUGCUGGGUGCGUAGUCCCACUGCUGUGGUCUUGUUAUGGGAAGCCCUCUGCUGGUGUUUUUGCUGUUAUGAACUGCUACUGCUGGUCCUAUAGUUGCUGGUUCUCUUGUUGCUGGUGUUUGCUGUCAUGUGUAGUAACAGUUUGCAGUAGUAGUGUGCUGUUGUAGCUGUGUACGUGGUGCACUUAUCAGUUUGUUAGCAGUCCUGUUAUAGCUUCUGUGUUGUUUGCUUGCUGGGUUGUCAUGCAGUUGCUAAUGUUUGCGGGGUUGAAAUGCUGUUGUUGAUGUUUGCUGGGUUGACAUGCUGUUAUAGCUGUUGUUUUGCUACCUUGGGUGCUGUUGGUGCUGCUGUCUAUUGGUGCUGCUUGUUGCUACCUUGGUUGUUAAAUACUGGUGCCUCUUCCUGUGGCAAGGAGUUUGAUGGUGUAUUGUUUAGAAGUUGCUGGAAGAUUUUACAAGGGAAGGAGUUGGCAGAGUUGGAUGGUUGUCCUUGCGGUGUGGUUGGUCUGUUUUUUACUGUUUUUCUUUUUGUUUCUCUGUUUUGGAUUGGUUUCUCGUCAAUCUGUGGGUUUAGUGCUACCAUAUAAUUGUGCUUCCUCCUUGAUGCCAACCUAGUUGGGAUUGUGGAGUUUAGCUAUGAUGUUUUUUGCACUUCCCUUCUUUAUUGAUGUUUAUUGUUGCUUGUAUUUGCUCACCUCAUCAAUAAAGUUUUCCUUUUCUUGCUGGUCAAAAAAAAAAAAACAAAAAA